CCGAGCGACGGGCGCGCUGCCCGAGCUGCCGCGGACGAGGCUGGGAAAAACGAGAAAAGCGACGCGCGCCGCUGCGCCUGCGCACCGCCGCGCGGGGAGCAUUUUCGCGCUCUCCCGGCGCCUCGGGAAGAACCUGGGAGCGGCGGGAGCCCUUUCUCACGCCGGUGCACAAGGCGGAGCGCGCAGACGCGAUCACACGAUGCCCGGCUCCUGGAUGCGCGCGGACGGCGAGCUGCCCGGGCGGUCCAGGCAGGGGCGGCGCCUGUCACCCCACGUCCCGUGCCGAGCACUCGGCUCGGGCGCUGGAGCGCUGCCGGACCCGACGCCGUUGCGGGUCAGCGCGGGUCUGGAAGGGGUUGUGCAGGACAGGGUUGACGAAGAGUGAAACUUGGAUAGCUCUGAGAAGAGGAAGAGAUAUACGGUGAACAGAAGUGCAGAAGCGGACCUGGUCGAGGCACUCCGGCUGCUCAGAGGGAGAAGACUGAAAACUCUUGCUGCUGCAAAGCUGGGGAAGGCAGGACUAGCCUUUGCGUUCUGCCUUCCCCAGAAUGAAGUCCACCAGGGUGUUUCAGCCAGCACUCUCUGGGGCCUAGAGUCAAAAGAUAAAUAGUUCAAGUGUAGCUGAUUUAAAAACAAACAAACAAACAAAAAACCCUCUCUGUGUUGCUUCCGUUUCUAAGAAUCAGUCAGAUGAUAAUGUGAAAAUAAUUAUCCCUGACAAAACUGUCAUGCUUAAAAAAAAAAUCCCGCCCAACUGUCAUAUAAUAUACAAGACAAGAAUUAUUUACUAGCAUCGAAUCUAAAGGAAAUAUCCAUGGUGCUUAAAAAAAAUAAAAUUGGGGAACGGCAUAGGGAAUAAAUAUUGGCUGGAGGAUCAUCUGGACUCCCAUAGUCAUCACACCAAAAAAAAAAUUUAAAAAUCAUGGCCUACUCUAAACAUAUAUUUAUAUUUAUUUUAUAUAUAUAUAUUCAAUAGGAAGAGAGGUCAUAGUAAAUGCAAGGCAAUUAUAUAUAUUUUUCCCCAUUUUAAAAUAAGGAUAAGUUCUUACUGCCUUUUUAGAAAUUAGGAUAGAAUUCCUUGGCCACUGGAAGAACCAAGAAAUGCUCAAAGGUCUAUUUGGGAAAGAAGAAAACCAACCACUUAGAUGUGAGUGGAUUAAUAGUACAAAAUACCUCAGGAAAGCAAGGAAAGGCUGUAUAUUAACUCUGAGACAACAAGCAGAAGUUCAAAUCCUACCCACAGAAAGAUGGAAAGGGCUUUGGUGGGGGUGUGACUGAACCAAGGAGUAAAAUCUGGCCCUCAGUGAAUAGACUCUUACUAGAUUGGGUGGCCAAACAGGCGUUGAAUUCAAAAAGGACGUCUUUUGAGCGAAAUCUUAGAACAGUUGGGGUUACUUCAAGGACAGUUCCACCUGUGGGUUCUAGCCUCUCCCAAAGGGAGACCACGGAGGGGUCCCACGGAGCAAUCUGUGAUCUGAUGGGGGAAUCAUUCAACCCUUCUUAGUUCCUUUUUCUUAACUUAAACUUUGCAACUCGUCCUGUCAGGGGUAGCGUGGCAGGGUGAUGGCUAAAGGUGGAACAUACAGUUUAGUGGAGCACAAAGCAAGAAAGGGGCAGAAGUGCUUUGUAAAUUCCUCUGAAGUCUGGAUUUAAGCUUUUGGUAACCACGCUUAACAGAGAAUGCUGAGGCUGUAACUGUAGGCUUAGGCAGGCUGAAUGCAAUGUAUGUAGAAGAUGUCAGCAUCUUUGGCUUUUACCAUCUCUCUCCCUCACCUUCUCCCAAAAAUUCUAGAGAAAGGUUGAUACGGGUUAAGUUGUGUCCCUCCCAAAAAGGUAUGCUGAAAUCCUAAACCCUAGUCCUUCAGAAUGGGAUCUUACUUGGAAGUAGAGUUAUUGCAGGUGUAGUUAAGAUGAGGUCAUAUUGGAGUAGGAACAGUUUGUCCUGAUAAGAUGGCCACGUGGAGACAGAGACACACGGGGAAAACGCCAUGUGAUGUCAAAGGCAGAGAUGGCAGUUCUACAGCUGCAAGCCAAGGAAUGCCAGGGAUCGUCCACAAAUCACCAGAUGCUGCCAAGGGCGAGGAAAGGAUUCUCCUACAAGUUUCAGAGGGACUGUGGCCCUCAAAACCUUGAUCUCAGGCUUCUAGCCUCCAGAACCAUGGGACAAUAAAUUUAUUUUAACCCCGCUGA